AUUGAACGCUGGCGGCAUGCCUUACACAUGCAAGUCGAACGGUAACGCGGGGCAACCUGGCGACGAGUGGCGAACGGGUGAGUAAUGCAUCGGAGCGUGCCCAGUAGUGGGGGAUAGCCCGGCGAAAGCCGGAUUAAUACCGCAUACGACCUACGGGUGAAAGGGGGGGAUCGCAAGACCUCUCGUUAUUGGAGCGGCCGAUGUCAGAUUAGGUUGUUGGUGGGGUAAAAGCCUACCAAGCCGACGAUCUGUAGCUGGUCUGAGAGGACGACCAGCCACACUGGGACUGAGACACGGCCCAGACUCCUACGGGAGGCAGCAGUGGGGAAUUUUGGACAAUGGGCGCAAGCCUGAUCCAGCCAUGCCGCGUGCGGGAAGAAGGCCUUCGGGUUGUAAACCGCUUUUGUCAGGGAAGAAACGCGCUGAGCUAAUACCUCGGCGUAAUGACGGUACCUGAAGAAUAAGCACCGGCUAACUACGUGCCAGCAGCCGCGGUAAUACGUAGGGUGCAAGCGUUAAUCGGAAUUACUGGGCGUAAAGCGUGCGCAGGCGGUGAUGCAAGACAGAUGUGAAAUCCCCGGGCUUAACCUGGGAACUGCAUUUGUGACUGCAUUGCUGGAGUGCGGCAGAGGGGGAUGGAAU
rnacentral:rRNA from 1 species